rnacentral:rRNA from 1 species
UACCUGCAGCUCAAGUGGUGACCGCUACUAUUGGGCCUAAAACGUUCGUAGCCGGUUUGGUAAAUGCCUGGGUAAAUCGUGUAGCUUAACUAUACGAAUUCCGGGUAGACUGCCAAACUUGAGACCGGGAGAAGCUAGAGGUACUCCUGGGGUAGAGGUGAAAUUCUGUAAUCCUAGGGGGACCACCAGUGGCGAAGGCGUCUAGCUAGAACGGGUUUGACGGUGAGGAACGAAGCCCUGGGGCGCAAACCGGAUUAGAUACCCGGGUAGUCCAGGGUGUAAACGCUGCUUGCUUGAUGUUAGUUGGGCUCCGAGCCCAAUUAGUGUCGGAGAGAAGUUGUUAAGCAAGCUGCCUGGGAAGUACGAUCGCAAGAUUGAAACUUAAGGAAUUGGCGGGGGAGCACAGCAACGGGUGGAGCGUGCGGUUU